AAGAACGGUUUUCGUAGGUGACCUGCGGAAGGUCAUUACUGUGAUUAUUGUUCCACACUGCGUGAGCGCACACAACACACAAACACGUAUACUAGUUCAGGAGUUUUUAUUUUAACACAAAACUUUCAACAACGGAUCUCUUGGUUCUCGCAUCGAUGAAGAGCGCAGCGAAAUGCGAUACCUAGUGUGAAUUGCAGCCAUCGUGAAUCAUCGAGUUCUUGAACGCACAUUGCGCCCGUCGGCAUUCCGGCGGGCAUGCCUGUCUGAGCGUCGUUUCCUUCUUGCAAGACGAGAGUUGCGCAGAGCUGGCCCGGCCACGGCCCCGCCGAAAAGAAACGAGGCCACGAGCGAACUAGAACAGGACGCUUGGGGUCUCCGAGCACUAUGAGCUCGACCUCAGAUCAGGUAGGAAUACCCGCUGAACUUAAGCAUAUCAAUAAGCGGAGGAA
rnacentral:rRNA from 1 species